rnacentral:rRNA from 1 species
CGGGACGGGUGAGUAAUGUCUGGGAAACUGCCUGAUGGAGGGGGAUAACUACUGGAAACGGUAGCUAAUACCGCAUAACGUCGCAAGACCAAAGAGGGGGACCUUCGGGCCUCUUGCCAUCGGAUGUGCCCAGAUGGGAUUAGCUAGUAGGUGGGGUAACGGCUCACCUAGACGACGAUCCCUAGCUGGUCUGAGAGGAUGACCAGCCACACUGGAACUGAGACACGGUCCAG